AAGAAGCUGCGGCUAACUACGUGCCAGCAGCCACGGUAAUACGUAGGCAGCGAGCGUUGUUCGGAGUUACUGGGCGUAAAGGGUGUGUAGGCGGCUUGCCAAGUUCGGUGUGAAAUCUCCCGGCUUAACUGGGAGGGUGCGCCGAAUACUGGCGGGCUCGAGUGCGGGAUGGGAGAGCGGAAUUCCUGGUGUAGCGGUGAAAUGCGUAGAGAUCAGGAGGAACACCUGCGGUGUAGACGGCUCUCUGGACCGCCACUGACGCUGAGACACGAAAGCGUGGGUAGCAAACAGGAUUAGAUACCCUGGUAGUCCACGCCCUAAACGAUGUAUACUUGGUGUGGGCAGUUCAUUCUGUCCGUGCCGAAGCUAACGCG
rnacentral:rRNA from 1 species